CAUACAUUGCACCGGUAUCUCUGUUGGAACUGAUUCUCCGGUCCCAAUUUCAUUCCUUGCAUGACAGGAAUACACUUUAUUUUCAAAGCUCACGUUUCUAACUGUGAUCUGCUUUGUUUCAUAUGACGUAAUGAUCUUUUCGGUUCCUUUGUACCAUUCAUAGGAUGUAACAUCGGGAUUCGAUUUGCUGUUGCAUAAUAACGUUACAUCAUCUUCCUCCAUGAUUUCUUGUUUUUCAGCAAUUUGAACGGUUACAUUCUUUGGAGAAACUGUU